AUUGAACGCUGGCGGCAGGCCUAACACAUGCAAGUCGAACGGUAACAUGAAGAAGCUUGCUUCUUUGCUGACGAGUGGCGGACGGGUGAGUAAUGGCUGGGAAACUGCCUGAUGGAGGGGGAUAACUACUGGAAACGGUAGCUAAUACCGCAUAACGUCGCAAGACCAUAGAGGGGGACCUUCGGGCCUCUUGCCAUCGGAUGUGCCCAGUUGGGAUUAGCUAGUAGGUGGGGUAACGGCUCACCUAGGCGACGAUCCCUAGCUGGUCUGAGAGGAUGACCAGCCACACUGGAACUGAGACACGGUCCAGACUCCUACGGGAGGCAGCAGUGGGGAAUAUUGCACAAUGGGCGCAAGCCUGAUGCAGCCAUGCCGCGUGUAUGAAGAAGGCCUUCGGGUUGUAAAGUACUUUCCGCGGGGAGGAAGGGAGUAAAGUUAAUACCUUUGCUCAUUGACGUUACCCGCAGAAGAAGCACCGGCUAACUCCGUG
rnacentral:rRNA from 1 species